rnacentral:rRNA from 1 species
AUUGAACGCUGGCGGCAGGCCUAACACAUGCAAGUCGAACGAGUGGCGGACGGGUGAGUAAUGUCUGGGAAACUGCCCGAUGGAGGGGGAUAACUACUGGAAACGGUAGCUAUUACCGCAUACCAUCGGAUGUGCCCAGAUGGGAUUAGCUAGUGGGUGGGGUAACGGCUCACCUAGGCGACGAUCCCUAGCUGGUCUGAGAGGAUGACCAGCCACACUGGAACUGAGACACGGUACAGACUCCUACGGGAGGCAGCAGUGGGGAAUAGUGCACAAGGGGCUCAGGCCUGAUGCAGACAAGCCGCGUGUAUGAAGAAGUCAUUCGGGUUGUAAAGUAAUUUCAGCGGGGAGGCGUUACUCGAAGAAGAAGCACCGGCUAACUCCGUGCCAGCAGCCGCGGUAAUUC